CCCACUAAUUGUAUUUUAUUUUCCAGGAGCAAUCUCCCACCAUUUAAUGCAGAUACUCUUUCUAAGGAGAGGGGAGAAAGAAGAAAACUCUCUUCCUCGACAUGCAGAGGGGGUGUGGGUAGACAGCAAGAGUGAUUCUUAAGAUAAAUGUUCCUAACAUUGCUCCUCCUGCCUCUCCAUGUCGCAUAUGAUAGGAAAAAGAUUAUGUUGAUUCCACCAUGGUACCUGGUACAGACUACAUAAAUGGUGGAUGGAUACAGGAAUUGCUGAAUGAGUUCAUCGGAAAUGCAACAUGACCUAUACUAACUAAAAUGUGCAGAUCACAGUUGAUCUGAUCCAAUUAGACAGUAAAGACACAAAACAUAAGUCAUCCAUCAUGUAGUAAAAAAGGUCCAGAUCUUUUUCCCUAUGGAAACUUCACCAGGAUGCUCCAACUCAUCAUCAACAUCAUAGUCCUCUUCAUCCUCCUCAUGGAUUGUGCUGCCAUUCUCAUCUUCAUCCCCAUAUUCUGUAGUACCAUUUACUUCCUCACUCAACUCCAUAAUCUCAAUAGAUUUUGAUAUGUCAGCCCUGACUGCCCUAUCCUGUGAGAACUCCACAUUUUUUAGUGUUGUGACCUUCAAUGCAUCUGUAGACUUGCCAGUCUCACUAGCAACUCCAAGUGACGAUGCAAGCGCAGUUUCAGGUUUUCGUGUUGGUUCAACAGAAGCACCGCCAUCAGCUUCUUUCUCCCCUGUCUUGGUCAAGCCAGAAAAUGCUUCAUUGGCAGAGGGUGCCCCAGCAGUCCUGUGUCGCCUAAGAUUGUAGCGCUUUUGCCCUGGAGUAAUUGCUGAAGCCACCAUUUGUCGCCUCUUCCUGCGACCACCAGUUGUGACACUCUCGGAACAUCCUUCACUAUCACCAGCAUCCUGCUCAGUUUCAGUUGGUGCACGUUCCCGCUUCCUGGCAAUGUUGCUGGCUGGCUUCUCUAUACUUUCAUCAAUGUUUUGAUAAAUAUCAUUAGACUGUACAUUUUUUGCAUAAUGUUCAGGUCCUUCUGAGCUUUUCUCAAGAAACAGCUUUGCAUCUUCAACGACUGCUUUAACUGAACGUGUUCUACUUAUUCCACCCUUGCGUCUCCUCCCAGGUUUACUUCGACUACUCUUCAGCUCAGAUUGUUCAGCAUCCUCUACCUUACUGUCCAUAUUACCGUGAUCAUCAACAGACAUGGAAUAUCCAUCUCCCUUUCCUUUAAUGGCAUCAAAAUGAAGCUGCUCAAAUUCAUCUCCAGCAACACUACCUCUAGCUGCUUUACUGGCAAGCAUACCAAAUCCAUCAGUCUUUUCUUCUGCCAAAAUUGGAACUGAAACAUGCUCUUUCUUUUUAGUAGGUGAUAUGCUAAAAAUCUUCGAAGUGCAUUUACGGAACCAAGACAUGUGCUCUUGAGAAUUGGAAUAUCCCAAAUCAUGUUCACUAGGAGAUCUGUUGACAUUCAUAACAACAGUAACAUCCACAUCAUCUUGAUCAUUCCUCAAAAUUUCAUCCGCUUGCCUUUGAAGGGGAAGGAUCCUCCUGUCUUCCAUGUCAGGAGGCAGAAGAUCAGAAAGUAUAAACUCACUAGUAAUGUC
rnacentral:misc_RNA from 1 species